UGCGCUUGGCCCACGGCGACGAGGCGUUGCGCGAUCUGGUCGCGCGUCGUACGCCGCUGUUCGAGUUCGCGGUGCGCACC
rnacentral:tRNA from 1 species